UUCCAUGAGAGAUAGAGAAAGAGAUGAGCACGGCCGGAGAGGAAGAAGCUAGGAAGCUAUUGCUCUGUGUGGAAUGUUGUCUGGUUCUAGGCCUUGAGAGGGGACAUGCAUGGUCAUGCCUCGUCUUGUUUGGGCCCUCGGACCAGGCUUCAUUCCCCUCAGAGGUACCUUCCAGCCAUGGGUGAAUCUGGCGCUGUUCUCGAUCGAUCCCUGCAGGAGAAGGCCGCCCGGAAGGGAUGGGAUAACCGGAUAGGGAAGGUUGGUGCUAUGAUUCCUUCGAUCUUUCUUUUCAGGUUUCUGGGAUCUUGUGCUAGCGCAGGAGAGCGAGGAAGAGAUCGGUGCAAUGAUGCGACCUCUGACUCUUGAUUCAUCGAUCCCAUCGAUCAGUAUCUCUGCCAGGUGAUUGAAAAGGUAAAUACGUCUCUCAAGGAAGGAAAACAAGUCUAGUCCACCGCAGAUCCGCUAUUUUUUAAUUUAAAAGCCUGCACAUCCAUGAUAUACUAUCAUUUUCCUUGUUUUUUUAAUUAAAGCAUUUCUUUUCGUGUU